rnacentral:SRP_RNA from 1 species
GCCGGGUGCAGUGGUGCGUGCCUGUAGUCCCAGCUACUUGGGAGGCUGAGACUGGAGGAUCGCUCGAGUCCAGGAGUUGUGGGCUGUAGUGCGCUGUGCUGAUCGGGUGCCUGCACUAAGUUUGGCAUCAAUAUGGUGACCUCCCGGGAGCAGGGGAUCACCAGGUUGCCUAAGGAGGGAUGAACCGGCCCAGGUCAGAAACGGAGCAGGUCAAAACUCCCGUGCUGAUUAGUAGUGGGAUCGCUCCUGUGAAUAGCCACUGCACUCCAGCCUGGGCAACAUAGCGAGACACCGUCUAU